AUGGCCGACCCCUCCCCCUCCCCCCCCACGGCGGCCUCCGCCAGCGACGCCCUCCUCGCGCCGGACGCGACCCUCCCCGCCGCCGCCCCCGACCUGGACAAGGAGUUCGGGUUCCAGCGGGCGGAGCUCGGUAAGGAGAAGCUCGCCGGGACGGUGGGCUUCCACGAGCGCCACGUGUUCCUCUGCUACAAGGGCCCUGAGGAGUGGCCGUCCCACGUCGAGGCCUCCGAGUCCGACCACCUCCCCCGCCUCCUCGCCGCCGCCAUCAAGGCCCGCAAGCCCAAUCUGAAGAAGAGCACCAAACUGACAAUUUGUGAAGGAGAAGAUGGCACUGAGUCAUCUCUUGGAGAUGUGUUGAUCUUUCCUGAUAUGAUCCGAUACAGAGAGCUGACCCACCUUGAUGUCGACAACUUUGUGGAAGAAGUACUCUUGAAAGAUACUGAAUGGCUUCCUGGAUCUCCUGAGGCUAUAAAAGGUUCCUAUGUUUUUGUCUGCUGCCAUGGAAGCAGGGAUAAAAGGUGUGGUGUUUGCGGUCCUGCUCUGAUUACAAGGUUCAAGGAAGAGAUUGAAGGACAAGGUCUUGAUGGUCAGGUGGCUGUUAGUGCAUGCUCACACGUUGGAGGUCACAAGUAUGCAGGAAAUGUCAUCAUAUUCAGUCCAGAUGCCAAGGGAGAAGUGACUGGUCAUUGGUAUGGUUAUGUUGCUCCUGAUGAUGUGCCUGUGUUACUGCGUCAACAUAUCGGACAAGGAGAGAUUGUGGGCCAUCUAUGGAGGGGCCAGUUGGGCUUGUCUGAAGAGCAGCAGAAGAAAGCUCUGGAGCUUAGGCACGCGACGAAUGGCCUGACCGAGGAAAAAUCAAGCGCCAAAGAAUCCCCUGAAGCAAAUGGGACCAACGGUGCUGCUUGCAACCCUGCACCUGCAGGUGGAUGCUGCCAGGGCAAUGGAGGAGGGUUAACCUGCUGCCAAAAUGAUCUGCCAGAAGCAAAACAGGAUAAGAGCAUUCCAGCUGAGCAGAACCACAAGAGCUCUACGACAGAGUGUGACAAAGAAAACGUUGCUGCCACCAAGAAGGGGCGCAUGAAGAUUUGCCGGGCAUCCACCUGGUUCGAGAUCUGGGACAGGUCCGACACCUACACCACUCUUGCUGUUGUUGCUUCUGCUGCAACCGUGUUCGCCGCGUUCAGGUGCUACAAGGCCAUGAACUGA
rnacentral:rRNA from 1 species